GUGCUUACUUCAGCAGCACAUGUCCUAAAAUUAGAAUGAUACAGAGAUUAGCAUGUCUCCUGCGCAAAGAUGAUGCACAAAUUCAUGAAUGUUUCCACAUUUUU